rnacentral:rRNA from 1 species
ACGAACGCUGGCGGCGCGCUUCAUACAUGCAAGUCGAACGUGAAGCCCGGAGCUUGCUCUGGGUGGAAAGUGGCGAACGGGUGAGGAACACGUGAGGAACCUGCCCUGGAGACCGGGAUAACACCGGGAAACCGGUGCUAAUACCGGAUGCCCUCAUCGGAUCUCAUGAACCGAUGAGGAAAUGGAUUCCGCUCCAGGAUGGCCUCGCGGCCUAUCAGCUUGUUGGUGGGGUAACGGCCCACCAAGGCUUCGACGGGUAGCUGGUCUGAGAGGAUGUCCAGCCACACUGGGACUGAGACACGGCCCAGACUCCUACGGGAGGCAGCAGUAGGGAAUCUUGCGCAAUGAGCGAAAGCUUGACGCAGCGACGCCGCGUGCGGGAUGAAGGCCCUCGGGUCGUAAACCGCUUUCAGCAGGGACGAAAUUGACGGUACCUGCAGAAGAAGCCCCGGUCAACUACGU